rnacentral:rRNA from 1 species
CACGUAGGCGGCUUGGCAAGUCGGAUGUGAAAUCCCUCGGCUCAACCGGGAGGGUGCGCCGAAAACUGGAGGGCUAGAGUGCGGGAAGGGAGAGUGGAAUUCCUGGUGUAGCGGUGAAAUGCGUAGAUAUCAGGAGGAACACCGGUGGUGUAGACGGCUCUCUGGACCGCGACUGACGCUGAGACACGAAAGCGUGGGUAGCAAACA